UACGAAGGGGGCUAGCGUUGCUCGGAAUCACUGGGCGUAAAGCGCACGUAGGCGGCUUUCUAAGUCAGGGGUGAAAUCCUGGAGCUCAACUCCAGAACUGCCUUUGAUACUGGGAAGCUUGAGUCCGGAAGAGGUGAGUGGAACUGCGAGUGUAGAGGUGAAAUUCGUAGAUAUUCGCAAGAACACCAGUGGCGAAGGCGACUACCUGGCCUGUUCUUGACGCUGAGGCGCGAAAGCUAGGGGAGCAAACGGG
rnacentral:rRNA from 1 species